rnacentral:lncRNA from 1 species
AUUCUGAUUGACAUGAUGAAAUGCAAUAUGAAAUGAAUGCAUGAAUGAGGAGGGCAAAUUUUGGGGUGUUACAUGAGGUUAGAGGUAAUGACGUCAUCAAGUCUAAAACUGAGUAAAUGGUGAUUAUCUACAACUCUGUGGUUGGGGAAAAGAUCAAUACCGAAGGAUGUCGAAAAAAGGUGAUAGACACUGACGAUUUCUUG